AGUGUAAUAAACACUUAACAUUUUCAUUGUUAAAUUUCUUUUUAGAUUUAAAUUCCAA
rnacentral:tRNA from 1 species